rnacentral:tRNA from 1 species
GUUGUGCUCAGUGGUAGAGCGCUUGCCUAGCAUACACGAGGCACUGGGUUCCAUCCCCGGCACCACA